rnacentral:tRNA from 2 species
AUUUAUAUAGUUUAAAUAAAACAAUACAUUUUCAUUGUAUAAAUAAUAUUUCUUAUAUUUAUAAAUA